CAUGCCAUCCCACUUAAAAAUGCCGAUAGCAGAUUGCACUUACGGCAAGUGACCACGGAAGGCAGCCAUCUGCAUCACUAUGCGCACUAUGCUCUCUCUAUUGAUCUUAUAUGGUCUUGUCGUAAUUGCUAACAGUAUAGAAGAAUGCAGUCGACCAAGGACCACGUGCCUUGCUAAGGAUGUGUGUGCCCUUCUUGGUGGCACAAAUCGAGGCCUCUGCUUUCGAGGCGUCUGUUGCGACAAAACUCACGUCAGUGCGAAACAGUGCACAACUCUAGGCACCACGUGUAUGGCAAGAAAAAUGUGCAAGCUUUCGAAUGGGAAGAUUCGUGGCAGGUGUUUUAAAGGUGUUUGCUGCAAGAAACAAAAGAAAAAUUCCUGCGAGGCAUUUGGAGGCAAGUGUCAUUCCGUGAACUACACCUGCAACAGCUUGAAACACACCAGCAAAAAGUGUGGAAGAAAUAAAAAGUGCUGCAUAUCGGGUGAACUAGCCGAAUAGGCUCAUCAUCGUACUGUCCUUACUGCUGAAAAUACAAGAAUGUAGCCAUGGAAUGUCGAUUCAGGCACGACAUAUUGCUCGAUAUCAGUUUUCUAUAAUUUCUUAUCGAUGAAAAGAGAUGCUUGCAAAAUAAAAAA